GUACUCAUUUAGGCAGCACGUGUGCUAAGACUGGAACUGUACAUAGAGAUAGUCAUGGCUCCUGUACAAAGAUGACACACAAAUUCAUGAAUCAUUCCAUAUUUUU
ensembl:snRNA U6 U6 spliceosomal RNA